GGUCAUACUAGGGCUGGAGGUGACAGAAAAGUUACCACAGGGAUAACUGGCUUGUGGCCGUCGAGCGACCAUAGCGACACGGCUUUUUGAUUCUUCGAUGUCGUUUCUUCUUAGAUUGCAGAUGCAUAGCUCUGCUUGAUUUGGAUUGUUCACCCACCAACAAGGAACGUGAAAUGGGUUUAGACCGUUGCGAGACAGGUUAGUUUUACCCUACUACAUAGUGUUGGAGAGUAGACCGGAGUAGUACGAGAGGAAGGCCUGGUCUGGACCACUGGUCAUGCCUUUAUUCGUUAGAGUAGGGGCACAGCUACGUCCAUUGU
rnacentral:ncRNA from 1 species